rnacentral:SRP_RNA from 1 species
CCGUGCUAGGCGGGGAGGUAGCGGUGCCCUGAAUCCGCAAUCCGCUCUAGCGGGGCUGAAUUCCCUUUCGAGGGGUUCGGCGUCCGAGGCCAGCCCGCUGUGCAAAGCGUCGAUGGUCAGGUCCCGCGCGGUGACGGCCCGCGAACCAGGUCAGGUCCGGAAGGAAGCAGCCUUAAACGGUCACCGUCAUGCGUAGCGGGAGUGCCUGCCGGAGUGGAGCAUGGCGUCAGCGCUCGAGCGUCGAUCUCGACGAAGGGUGCACGG